AGGUACGGAAUAACAGUUGGAAACGACUGCUAAUACCGUAUGAGCCCGAGAGGGGAAAGAUUUAUCGCCUUUGGAGGGGCCCGCGUCAGAUUAGGUAGUUGGUGGGGUAAUGGCCUACCAAGCCUACGAUCUGUAGCUGGUCUUAGAGGAUGAUCAGCCACACUGGGACUGAGAUACGGCCCAGACUCCUACGGGAGGCAGCAGUGGGGAAUAUUGGACAAUGGGGGCAACCCUGAUCCAGCAAUGCCGCGUGAGUGAUGAAGGCCUUCGGGUUGUAAAGCUCUUUUGCCAGGGACGAUGAUGACGGUACCUGGAGAAUAAGCCCCGGCUAACUUCGUGCCAGCAGCCGCGGUAAUACGAAGGGGGCUAGCGUUGUUCGGAAUUACUGGGCGUAAAGGGCGCGUAGGCGGUUUGAUUAGUCAGAUGUGAAAUUCCCGGGCUUAACCUGGGCGCUGCAUUUGAUACUGUCAGGCUUGAAUUCAGGAGAGGAUAGCGGAAUUCCCAGUGUAGAGGUGAAAUUCGUAGAUAUUGGGAAGAACACCGGUGGCGAAGGCGGCUAUCUGGACUGA
rnacentral:rRNA from 1 species